ACAUGUUCCUCACCAGGCUGUCACACCACAACACAUGUUCCUCACCAGGCUGUCACACCACAACACAUGUUCCUCACCAGGCUGUCACACCACAACACAUGUUCUUCACCAGGCUGUCACACACAUAGGUAAACAUCAGGUAACUACGUGACCUCCUCCAACACAGUGAAGGAAGAAACCACAACAAAACAAUGACCGUAGAAUACAUAAUUACCCCCCUUAACGACCAAUUUACCCGUUGGAACGCCUUGUUAGCUUUAAUUAAAUGAAGCAUAUGUAUAUAAUUUCAAGGGUAUUAAUGGUAAAGCUUAACUUCAGUUCAGACAGUCUUUUUUAUAUGUUAAGUAAGCAAACCUUACUUAAUUUAGUUUUAGUUACGUGAAGAUAACAUAGAUAAGGUUAGGUUAGCAGGGUAGGUUAGGCUAGGUUAGGUUAGUUAGGUUAAUUUGAAUAGGUAAGUAGGGUAGGUGAGUUAGGUUAAUCUGAAUAGGUUAGCAGAGUAGGUCAGUUAGGUUAAUCUGAAUAGGUUAGCAGGGUAGGUGAGUUAGGUUAUUCUGAAUAGGUUAGCAGAGUAGGUCAGUUAGGUUAAUCUGAAUUGGUUAGCAGGAUAGGUUAGUUAGGAUAACCUGAAUAGAUUAGUUAGUUAGAUUAGUUAGGUUCGGUUAGUGGUGAGGCAAUUAUUUUUAGUUUGCAUUACAUUUUUUCCCAAGAUGACUCUUAAGUACAAAUCAGUUCAAAUGGUCGCGUGUCCCCUCCACCCCCCACUCCCCAAAGAGAAGACUUUAUUGACAUCGCGCUUGGGCUUGAUAGAUUAUAUUUAUUUAUUUAUUUUUUAUUAUUAUUAUUUUUUUUGCAUUUGAAGUCUCUGUAUCUCAUGCUUCAUCUCAUAGAUAGAUAGAUAGAUAGAUAGAUAGAUAGAUAGAUGAUUCUCAAUAACGCCUGUUUUCUUUGUAUAUAUUAAUAAUGAUAAUGGUGAUGGUGAUAAUGACGAUGAUAAUGAUGAUGACAAUUAUAAAAACCUUCAUAUCCUCGUUUCUGUUACUCUCUCUCUCUCACCUUUUUUCUCUCUUUCUUUUUAUCUUUAACGCUCUCUCUCUCUCUCUCCAUCUUCAGUAUUCAAUUUCUUGUGAUAAAUAUAUACUGUUAAUUAUAUAGAAAUUUUUUAUUAGUGCGUUGCUCCACUAAUAAUUAAUUGUAAAUCUAAGUAAUCGUUUAUAUGACAAUUGCAAGUAAUAGAGUUUUUUAAGUGUUAGUGGGUGAUAUAAGUGUACUGGAAACUAUAAGUGGUAUUGAGAGAAAAUUAUAAGUGUAUGCUUGUAUAGGAUUGAUAAGUGACUUAUUUAAGUGUGUGGAUAAUUGUAAAUGUGCAACAGUGUGUCAUCUAAGAGUACUUAAGCUUGUAUAUGGCAAUGAUGACUUUAAAGUGUACAUAUGUAUGGUUUUAAUGAUUUAAGUGUACUUAGAAUAAGAAACAGGUAAAAAAAGGUUCAUUUAAGUCCAAUGAGAAAUAUAAUUGGUCAAUGAUGUAUUAAGUGUGCUUAGAAUUAAAAAAAGAGAAAUACUUA